AUGAUGCAACGCGGCCCCUACUUCCAAACGGGAAAGUACGGAAAUGUUCCGCGAUUACUUUCAUUUUCUGUUUUGCUGACUAACAGUGAGUAUAUUCUGUCGCACUUUCUUAGCAUCGUGUUACUGGCGUGUGUUACACAUUUCACGGACGAUUUCUUUCUCCGUUGCAUUUUAACGCUGAUCUUGAAACUUUCUUGCAGCAGAUUCAUCAUGACUUCCCUAAAUGUUCGCCCCGACACAAAGCAACAGGUGGAUAGCUUCUGCCAAAAGCUCAAUAAAGAGGGAGAAGACUUGGUGAAAACAUUUUUUCCACAGAAGAUUGAAGAGAUGCAGCUGAUGUUAACAACUUCCUUCAUCUGCAAAGACCUGGACACUCUGAAGGUCCUGCUGACAUCCCGAUGCCGGACCCGGCCAAAGAGGAGGCCAAACGCAAGAAGAAGGAGGAGGCGGUGGGUGAUGGCUGCUGUACUCUUAUCUCGCUCUCAAUAGGAAGCAGACGUAGAAGGUUAAAUGUAUUGUUUGCGUUUAUAACAUGUGUACAGUACCGGCUUUUCUUUAUUUUCGACACUGUUUCCAUUGUGUGAUUCUCAUUGAAGAUAUUUAACUAUUAAUGAACAAGUGGGAUUAUGUAGGAAAUAAAAAAAGGGAGCAAUAACUCAAAAUAAGUUUUAAUUAUUCAAAAUUGCCACCUUUUCUCAAUGAGCUUCAUAAGGUCGUCACCGGAAAUGGUUUUAAAUCAUGAAGCCAAUUGAGAAAAUGUCAAAAGUGCAAAGCAGUAAUCAAAGCAAAAGGCGGCUAUUUUGAAGAAUCUAUUUCACCUUUUUUUUGUUUAACCUCUAAACCCCUGCCUUAACCGAGUGCAUUUUCUGCUGUUUUGUUUUACCCAAAUCCAGAAGUCACAUUUGAAAGCUAAUACCUACAAACUUGUCGCAUUGUUGCUGCAUUUUUUUAAAGUGUUUUGUCGUGUUUUCUUCUCUUUUUUGUCACUUUUUCAUUGCUUUUUUGGUCACUGUUUUGUUAUUUUUCACUUCAUUAUGUGUUGUUGUUGCUUUUCUGGCACGUUUUGCCGUCAUUUUUAAAUCACUUUUAUUGUUGCAUUUUUAUUGCAUUAUUCUUGCUUUUGCGGCACGACUUUCUUCACUAUUGUUGACACUUUUCUUCCCCCAAGAAGCUUCUAGAUUUAGGUAAUUCCAAACUGGAGAACAUGUGCUCGAUUCAGGUUUGGGGUUAAAAGAUUAAAACAUAAUUCCAUUCGUGUUCAUUCAUAAAUUAAUGCCUUCAGUGAGAAUCUAUCAUGUAAACAGUCUUGAAAAGCGUUUAUAAACUUUUGAUGGGUACUUUACAUAAAUCGCUAUAAUGGUCAGAUAAAAGUGCCAUCCCCAAUCCUGAAAAAUAAUAGUUAUAUUCAAACCAGUGUUUUUGCUCUACUCUAAAUUGUACUGUGAAUCAUUGCAUCAUUAGGAGGCGUGACUGGCCCGGUAGCUCAGUUUAUAGAGAAGCUAGUCUAACAAACAAUCUCUGAAUGCUGCCAAUGUGCCCUUUGGCAAGACCCUCUAUCUCUUUGUUAAUGUGUUUAAGUUUGACUGUGAACUGAAUGAACAGUCAAACACUUUGAGAAGCCUGUGGAGCUUAGAACGUAUGCUUUUGUAAGAACAAGAAAAUCCAUCACUUUAAAAUGCCACUUAUGUAACGUGAUUUGUGGCGACAUGCGUCUGAGUUCACUUUGUUCCAUUGGAGAUAAUUGACUUAAUUGGGUAAUAUUCAUGAAGUGGUAAUUAGAUCGAUGAAGUGCGGAGUGGCUGAAAAGGGAAAAUAAACACUUGCGCCUGAUUAUAUUAUGAAAGUGAAAGGUGUCAUUAUAAGAAGUGGCUGUCGUUUUUUGCAUUGAGCCGCUCUCUCUCUCUCUCUCUCUCUCUCCGUUUCUGCCUGUGUUCCUGCGCCAAGGGUUUAAUUUAAUUGCGUCUCACAGAAAAAAAGAUCGUGAGCGGAGAAAAAUCUGACGUUGCCGUGGAAACCGA
ensembl:lncRNA